rnacentral:rRNA from 1 species
ACGUAGGGGGCGAGCGUUGUCCGGAAUGACUGGGCGUAAAGGGCGCGUAGACGGCUGUCUAAGUCUGGAGUGAAAGUCCUGCUUUCAAGGUGGGAAUUGCUUUGGAGACUGGAUGGCUUGAGUGCGGAAGAGGUAAGUGGAAUUCCCAGUGUAGCGGUGAAAUGCGUAGAGAUUGGGAGGAACACCAGUGGCGAAGGCGACUUACUGGGCCGUAACUGACGUUGAUGCGCGAAAGCGUGGGGAGCGAACAG